AAUGCUAAAAGAAUGGAAGUUUAAGAAAAAACUUUUUUAAAAAUAAAAAUUAAAUUUUUUUUAAUUUGUGCAAAACCAAUUAUUUAUAUUAAAGACAAGAAGACCCUAUGAAUUUAUGAUUAAAUAAACUAAAAAUUUUUAGUUUAUUUAAUCUUGAUUGGGGCAAUCAAAAAAUAUUAAUAACUUUUUUAAAUUUAAAUGAUCUAUUAUUAAUAAUCUAAUGGAAUAAAUACUCUAGGGAUAACAGCGUAA
rnacentral:rRNA from 1 species